CGGUAAUUCCAGCUCCAAUAGCGUANAUUAAAGUUGUUGCAGUUAAAAAGCUCGUAGUUGUACCUUGGGCUUGGUUGGCCGGUCCGCCUUUUUGGCGAGUACUGGACCCAACCGAGCCUUUCCUUCUGGCUAACCUUUCGCCCUUGUGGUGUUUGGCGAACCAGGACUUUUACUUUGAAAAGAUUAGAGUGUUCAAAACAGGCCUUUGCUCGAAUAUAUUAGCAUGGAAUAAUAGAAUAGGACGUUAUGGUUCUAUUUUGUUGGUUUCUAGGACCAUCGUAAUGAUUAAUAGGGACGGUCGGGGGCAUCAGUAUUCAGUCGUCAGAGGUGAAUUUCUUGGAUUACCUGAAGACUAACUACUGCGAAAGCAUUUGCCAAGGACGUUUUCAUUAAUCAAGAACGAAAGUUAGGGGAUCGAAGAUGAUCAGAUACCGUCGUAGUCUUAACCAUAAACUAUGCCGACUAGGGAUCGGGUGUUGUUCUUUUUUUGACGCACUCGGCACCUUACGAGAAAUCAAAGUCUUUGGGUUCUGGGGGGAGCAUGGUCGCAAGGCUGAAACUUAAAGGAAUUGACGGAAGGGCACCACCAGGAGUGGAGCCUGCGGCUUAAUUUGACUCAACACGGGGAAACUCACCAGGUCCAGACACAAAAAGGAUUGACAGAUUGAGAGCUCUUUCUUGAUUUUGUGGGUGGUGGUGCAUGGCCGUUCUUAGUUGGUGGAGUGAUUUGUCUGCUUAAUUGCGAUAACGAACGAGACCUUAACCUACUAAAUAGUGCUGCUAGCUUUUGCUGGUAUAGUCACUUCUUAGAGGGACUAUCGAUUUCAAGUCGAUGGAAGUUUGAGGCAAUAACAGGUCUGUGAUGCCCUUAGACGUUCUGGGCCGCACGCGCGCUACACUGACGGAGCCAACGAGUAUUAACCUUGGCCGAGAGGUCUGGGAAAUCUUGUGAAACUCCGUCGUGCUGGGGAUAGAGCAUUGUAAUUAUUGCUCUUCAACGAGGAAUUCCUAGUAAGCGCAAGUCAUCAGCUUGCGUUGAUUACGUCCCUGCCCUUGUACACACCGCCC
rnacentral:rRNA from 1 species